rnacentral:rRNA from 1 species
CUGGCCUCCUUCGGGGGUCCGAGUUGUAAUUUGCAGAGGGUGCUUUGGCGUCGGCAGCGGUCUAAGUUCCUUGGAACAGGACAUCACAGAGGGUGAGAAUCCCGUACGUGGUCGCCUGCCUUCGCCGUGUAAAGCCCCUUCGACGAGUCGAGUUGUUUGGGAAUGCAGCUCUAAAUGGGAGGUAAAUUUCUUCUAAAGCUAAAUACUGGCCAGAGACCGAUAGCGCACAAGUAGAGUGAUCGAAAGAUGAAAAGCACUUUGGAAAGAGAGUCAAACAGCACGUGAAAUUGUUGAAAGGGAAGCGCUUGCAGCCAGACUUGCUCGUAGUUGCUCACCCGGGCUUUUGCCCGGGGCACUCUUCUGCGGGCAGGCCAGCAUCAGUUUGGGCGACCGGAUAACGGCCUCUGUCAUGUAUCUUCCUUCGGGAUGACCUUAUAGGGGAGGCGUAAUGCGGCCAGCCCGGACUGAGGUCCGCGCAUCUGCUAGGAUGCUGGCGUAAUGGCUGUAAGCGGCCCGUCUUGAAACACGGACCAAGGAGUCUAACAUCUAUGCGAGUGUUUGGGUGUCAAGCCCGGACGCGUAAUGAAAGUGAACGGAGGUGGGAACCCUUUCGGGGGCGCACCAUCGACCGAUCCUGAUGUCUUCGGAUGGAUUUGAGUAAGAGCAUAGCUGUUGGGACCCGAAAGAUGGUGAACUAUGCUUGAAUAGGGUGAAGCCAGAGGAAACUCUGGUGGAGGCUCGCAGCGGUUCUGACGUGCAAAUCGAUCGUCAAAUUUGGGCAUAGGGGCGAAAGACUAAUCGAAC